UACGUAGGUGGCAAGCGUUGUCCGGAUUUAUUGGGUUUAAAGGGUGCGUAGGCGGCCGCCUAAGUCAGUUGUGAAAUACCCCGGCUCAACCGGGGGGGUGCGAUUGAUACUGGGCGGCUCGAGUAACAGCGAGGUUGGCGGAAUUGACGGUGUAGCGGUGAAAUGCAUAGAUAUGUCUCAGAACACCGAUUGCGAAGGCAGCUUACUAUGGUCUUAUUGACGCUGAGGCACGAAAGCGUGGGGAUCAAACAGG
rnacentral:rRNA from 1 species